GAUGAACGCUGGCGGCGUACUUAACACAUGCAAGUCGAACGAAGCACUUUAUUUGAUUUCCUUCGGGACUGAUUAUUUUGUGACUGAGUGGCGGACGGGUGAGUAACGCGUGGGUAACCUGCCUUGUACAGGGGGAUAACAGUUGGAAACGGCUGCUAAUACCGCAUAAGCGCACAGCAUCGCAUGAUGCAGUGUGAAAAACUCCGGUGGUAUAAGAUGGACCCGCGUUGGAUUAGCUAGUUGGUGAGGUAACGGCCCACUAAGGCGACGAUCCAUAGCCGACCUGAGAGGGUGACCGGCCACAUUGGGACUGAGACACGGCCCAAACUCCUACGGGAGGCAGCAGUGGGGAAUAUUGCACAAUGGGCGAAAGCCUGAUGCAGCGACGCCGCGUGAGCGAAGAAGUAUUUCGGUAUGUAAAGCUCUAUCAGCAGGGAAGAUAAUGACGGUACCUGACUAAGAAGCACCGGCUAAAUACGUG
rnacentral:rRNA from 1 species